rnacentral:misc_RNA from 1 species
UGGGUUUGACAUAUGGAGAAAUCCUCCAGAGAUGGGGGGUCCUUUUUGGGCUCCAUACAGGUGGUGCAUGGCUGUCGUCAGCUCGUGUCGUGAGAUGUUGGGUUAAGUCCCGCAACGAGCGCAACCCUCGUCCUAUGUUGCCAGCGGGUCAUGCCGGGGACUCAUAGGAGACUGCCGGGGUCAACUCGGAGGAAGGUGGGGAUGACGUCCUGGAAGCAAGCU